GUUGCGACUUUUAUGAAAAGUUGUGACUUUUAUGAAAUGUUGAAACUUUUAUCAUGAAAAGUUGCGACUUUUACGAAAUAUUGUUCCCUUUCUGAAAGGUUUUAACUUUCUAAAGAAUUGUGUCAUUUCCGAUAAGACACAUUAAUCAUUUUUUUACAAGUAGCAUUUGUUGUCUAUAAAUAGAGAAUUACAAUGUGCACACAAUGGGCUCGAUUUGUAUCAUUAUGUUUUAUUUCAAUGUUACAUAUCCUGGUAUAUUUUUUACA
rnacentral:misc_RNA from 1 species